GGAAGGCUUCGGCCGGACAGGGAUGGGCAUGCGGCGCAUUAGGCAGUAGGCGGGGUAACGGCCCACCUAACCGACGAUGCGUAGGGGUUCUGAGAGGAAGGUCCCCCACACUGGUACUGAGACACGGACCAGACUCCUACGGGAGGCAGCAGUGAGGAAUAUUGGUCAAUGGUCGGGAGACUGAACCAGCCAAGCCGCGUGAGGGAUGAAGGUACAGAGUAUCGUAAACCUCUUUUGUCAGGGAACAAAGGCGGGGACGUGUCCCCGGAUGAGUGUACCUGAAGAAAAAGCAUCGGCUAACUCCGUGCCAGCAGCCGCGGUAAUACGGAGGAUGCGAGCGUUAUCCGGAUUUAUUGGGUUUAAAGGGUGCGCAGGCGGUCUGUUAAGUCAGCGGUCAAAGCCCGGGGCUCAACCCCGGCCCGCCGUUGAAACUGGCAGUCUCGAGUUGGAGAGAAGUAUGCGGAAUGCGCGGUGUAGCGGUGAAAUGCAUAGAUAUCGCGCAGAACUCCGAUUGCGAAGGCAGCAUGCCGGCUCCACACUGACGCUGAGGCACGAAAGCGUGGGUAUCGAACAGGAUUAGAUACCCUGGUAGUCCACGCAGUAAACGAUGAAUGCUGGCUGUCCGGGGGGACUGACCCCUGG
rnacentral:rRNA from 1 species